UACGGAGGGUGCAAGCGUUAGUCGGAAUUACUGGGCGUAAAGGGUGCGUAGGCGGGGAUAUAAGUCAGAUGUGAAAAACCAAGGCUCAACCUUGGCAGUGCAUCUGAAACUGUAUUUCUAGAGGGAUAGCGGAGAAAACGGAAUUCCACGUGUAGCGGUGAAAUGCGUAGAUAUGUGGAAGAACACCUGUGGCGAAAGCGGUUUUCUAGCUUAAACCUGACGCUGAGGCACGAAAGCAAGGGGAGCAAAC
rnacentral:rRNA from 1 species